CUUGUGUACAAUUUGGAAAUUAGUAUGGCGUUCAUUAUCACUGAACUAGUACUAGUAUAUAUUUGUUUAGGGGCCAGCUGAAGGACGCCUCCGGGUGCGGGAAUUUCUCGCUACAUUGGAGACUUGUUGGUGACCUUCUGCUGUUGUUUUUUCGGUCGGGUUGUUGUCUCUUUGACACAUUCCCCAUUUCCAUUCUCAAUUUUAUAUACAGAUACAAAUACAGAGGAUGUCGCGGUCGUUGUUAAUGUGGAAAAUCGGGUCUCCCCUGCACUGCUUUGUUUUCAUGUGGUGGUGACAAUGAAUGAAUAUGUUUUUUUUAGCCAAAUAGUAGUAAUUUGAUUUUUUUUUUUUAGUGUUUUAGUAAUUUGAUUUUUUUUUAGUGUUUUAGUAAUUUUAUUUUGUUUUAAUCAAUCUAUCUAAAACUCUAAAUCAAAGAUGUGGAUUGAGGACUCAUUUCCUAAAUCUACGCCAUAUGUUU
rnacentral:lncRNA from 1 species